UGAGAUGUUGGGUUAAGUCCCGCAACGAGCGCAACCCUUGAUCUUAGUUGCCAUCAUUAAGUUGGGCACUCUAAGGUGACUGCCGGUGACAAACCGGAGGAAGGUGGGGAUGACGUCAAAUCAUCAUGCCCCUUAUGACCUGGGCUACACACGUGCUACAAUGGACGGUACAAAGAGCUGCAAGACCGCGAGGUGGAGCUAAUCUCAUAAAACCGUUCUCAGUUCGGAUUGUAGGCUGCAACUCGCCUACAUGAAGCUGGAAUCGCUAGUAAUCGCGGAUCAGCAUGCCGCGGUGAAUACGUUCCCGGGCCUUGUACACACCGCCCGUCACACCACGAGAGUUUGUAACACCC
rnacentral:rRNA from 1 species